rnacentral:rRNA from 1 species
AGUAACACGUGGUCAACCUUCCCUACAGUGGGGGAUAACUAGCCGAAAGGUCAGCUAAUACCGCAUAACAUCUACGAGUGGCAUCAUUUGUAGAUCAAAGGAGCAAUCCGCUGAAGGACGGGACCGCGUCCCAUUAGUUAGUUGGUGGGGUAAUGGCCUACCAAGACUCCGAUGGGUAGCUGGUUUGAGAGAGCGACCAGCCACACUGGGACUGAGAAACGGCCCAG